UACGUAGGGGGCAAGCGUUGUCCGGAUUUAUUGGGCGUAAAGAGCGUGUAGGCGGCUAGGUAGGUCCGUUGUGAAAACUCGAGGCUCAACCUCGAGACGCCGGUGGAAACCAUCUAGCUAGAGUCCGGAAGAGGAGAGUGGAAUUCCUGGUGUAGCGGUGAAAUGCGCAGAUAUCAGGAAGAACACCCGUGGCGAAGGCGGCUCUCUGGGACGUGACUGACGCUGAGACGCGAAAGCGUGGGGAUCGAACAGG
rnacentral:rRNA from 1 species